rnacentral:tRNA from 1 species
GCCUCAGUAGCUCAGUGGUAGAGCGUUUGCCUAGUAUGUUUGGGUGAGCAAAAGGUCCAGUGUUCGACUCACUGUUGAGGCA